rnacentral:lncRNA from 1 species
UUUAUAUAGAUAACUAUUUGUUGACCAAAAAAAUAUAUAUAUAUAACUAUUUAUUUUGUUGUUUUUUUUUUUGGUAAAAUGUUAAGCUUAUUUAUUUUGUUGUUCAUAGUAUAUGAGAGGAGGUAAUAAAAAACCGCGGAGUGGGAUAUUGCAUGUCUUUCAGCAUGUCGCCUUCGGGGAUGAGUUUGGUUUGAUUAGGAUAUUGCUGUUAAGUUAUCUUGUCUUCAGAUUUGGAUUUUGGUUCUAGGUGAGCGUCCUUCUUUAGAUUUUUGAAGAUAGUUUUUGAGCGGACCUCUUUUUUUUUCUUUGAGAGGAAUUAUUCGAGUUUCAGGUAGCCGAAUAAAAUAAUUUUUUAUUUGAUUUUUCAGAACUUAAUCGCUAUUUUAGACAUAUUUGCUAUAUUGUUAAACGAUUUAAGUAUCAAUCGCUUUUGUGUACACAUAUUUUUAUUUCAUUGUAAGACCAAUUUUAGUGGUUUUAUAAUUUGUAACCUCAUGUUGUAAUAUCUCAAUCUUUAUUUCAUGAAAUGAUUUUUACAUUACAA